CUCAUGUCUGCCUUCAUAGAAGAAAGUUGGAUCUCAUACUGCUUCGCAUUAGACCAAUUGAAUUGUUAUUUUGUUAGAAGUAUCUGGAGAAGUCUGAUCUUGUGCAGAUAAUGUAGUUGGAAAAAGGAGGAGUAUUCUGAUCUUUUCAGGUCUUAGCUGGAGGACCGAAAGAUCCUGGAAGAUUCUAUGGCUGGCAACUGCAAUCAACAGAAGCCUCGUUUACUCGCAUACCUGAUGGUUGAUGCUGGCUGUCAGCUGAGAACUCAGCUUGGGUUAUCAUCCAGAACACCUACAUGGACCUCUACAUAUAACUUUGGGCUUACUUACAGCAUGAUGGCUGGGUUCUAGAAGACAGUGGCCCAAGACAACCAGAAAGAAACUAUGUCACUUUUUGUCACCUAGCUUCAGAAGUCACAAACCUGUAGUCCCAAGCUUAUCCAGAGUCAGCGGGAGAGAACAUAAUUCCAUUUCAUGGGAAGAGUGUCAGAGUCACACUUCACAGGAAAAGUAUAUAGGAUGGGAGAUAUUG
rnacentral:lncRNA from 1 species